UACGUAGGGGGCGAGCGUUGUCCGGAAUCACUGGGCGUAAAGGGCGCGCAGGCGGUUCGGUAAGGCCGUGGUGAAAGCCCGGGGCUCAACCCCGGGGGGUCCGCGGCGACUGCCGGGCUGGGGGGUCGGAGAGGGGCAGGGAAUCCCUGGUGUAGCGGUGGAAUGCGUAGAGAUCAGGGGGAACCCCGAUGGCGAAGGCACUGCCCUGGCCGACAGCCGACGCUGAGGCGCGAAAGCUGGGGGAG
rnacentral:rRNA from 1 species